rnacentral:rRNA from 1 species
CCUACGGGUGGCAGCAGUGAGGAAUAUUGGUCAAUGGGCGCGAGCCUGAACCAGCCAAGUAGCGUGAAGGAUGACUGCCCUACGGGUUGUAAACUUCUUUUAUAAAGGAAUAAAGUGAGGCACGUGUGCCUUUUUGUAUGUAUUUUAUGAAUAAGGAUCGGAUAACUCCGUGCCAGCAGCCGCGGUAAUACGGAGGAUCCGGGCGUUAUCCGGAUUGAUUGGGUUUAAAGGGAGCGUAGAUGGGUUGUUAAGUCAGUUGUGAAAGUUUGCGGCUCAACCGGAAAAUUGCAAUGGAUACUGGCAGGCUUGAGUACAGUUGAGGUAGGCGGAAUUCGUGGUGUAGCGGUGAAAUGCUUAGAUAUCACGAAGAACUCCGAUUGCGAAGGCAGCCUACUAAACUGCCACUGACGUUGAUGCUCGAAAGUGUGGGUAUCAAACAGGAUUAGAUACCCUUGUAGUC